rnacentral:rRNA from 1 species
CAGUCGAGCGGCGAACGGGUGAGUAACACGUGGAUUAUCUGCCCUGAGGUGGGGGAUAACCCGGGGAAACUCGGGCUAAUACCGCAUAUGACCGUGAGGUCAAAGGGGGCUCGCAAGAGCUCUCGCCAUAGGAGGAGUCCGCGUCCGAUUAGCUAGUUGGUAGGGUAAUGGCCUACCAAGGCGACGAUCGGUAGCCGGCCUGAGAGGGUGAUCGGCCACACUGGAACUGAGACACGGUCCAGACUCCUACGGGAGGCAGCAGUGGGGAAUUUUGCGCAAUGGGCUAACGCCUGACGCAGCAACGCCGCGUGGAGGAUGAAGGUCCUUGGAUUGUAAACUCCUGUCAGCAGGGAAAAAGCAACUUGACCUAAUACGUCAGGGAGUUGAUUGUACCUGCAGAGGAAGCCCCGGCUAACUCUGUGCCAGCAGCCGCGGUAAUACAGAGGGGGCAAGCGUUAUUCGGAAUUAUUGGGCGUAAAGGGCGCGUAGGCGGCCUGGCAAGUGGAAGGUGAAAUCCCUCGGCUUAACCGAGGAACUGCCUUCCAGACUGUUAGGCUUGAGACCGGGAGAGGUGAGUGGAAUUCCCAGUGUAGCGGUGAAAUGCGUAGAUAUUGGGAGGAACACCAGUGGCGAAGGCGGCUCACUGGACCGGUACUGACGCUGAGGCGCGAAAGCGUGGGGAGCAAACGGGAUUAGAUACCCC